UUGCCAUGGAGUAAAAGAUUUACCUCACUAUGAACUGCGUGCCAGUUACAAUGAAGAUCUACAUUGUCAGGAUGGAUUAAAAACUAAUGGCCCAUUUAGUGUGUUGUACAAAUUUCUCCCAAAAUAAUAGCAGUGGGAUUGCCUGAUGUGCAAAUAGGGCCAUUGUCCUUGCUUGCUAAACCCCACUUCCUUACAGGUGCUGCCAGGAAAAUAUAAACAAAUGGAUGAGACUUCAGACUGACAGCCAGAGACAAAGGCUGCUGUGAGAGGCACAAGGGUUCAGGUAGGACAGCUAUCCUGUGGUUGUUUCUUCAGGCUUUCUGUGGAAAUGGGAGCUACAGAAAUACAUCACUGUAAGGGAAAUGCGGAAUACAGACAAAGUCACACCACUGCAGAAAAUUUUAUUGUAAUACAGAGCUGCUCAAACGCUGAACUAUAGUUAGGACCUCAGCACGGAGAACAAAAAUGAAAGCAGAAGCAUGCUGCCUCCGAGGGGCUUGCCAAAUAAUCUUCUGGUUCAACCUGAAAGGGAGGAUCUUGCUGCGUAGGAGCUGGAUACAGGGAGGACAAACAAAGAUGAAAUGUGCUCCACAUUCAGUGUCUUCGCAUGUGGGGAGUCCUUGAGGUGGAGAUCUCCAAGCCUCUAUAUGCAAUAACAUAGUGCCCCCUGUUGGGAAGCUGUUCCUGUCUCCUGGCUGUGUUCAGUUACUGAUGGCAAAUCACCCUGGACCCUUCACUAGUUCAAACACUAAUCUUUGGGAAGAGAGAGUGCUGGAAGCCUGAUUAAGAAGCUGUGGGGCCAUUUAUCAGCUGUGCUUAUGUGUGGGUCAUGGCAAGCUCUGGUCAGGAGGAGCAGAAGAUGUUUUGUGUACAAAAUGUGCCUUUUAGAAUUAUUUACAGUGAAAUUAAUUGUAAGAAUGAAUAAGGUCAUUGGUAUUUAAUCUGAGGUAGAGUUGUGAAACUUCAGAUGACUGUGCAGGAGUUUUAGGUUGCUGUGAUGACAUGUUUCAUCCAGGGCUAAGCAGCUCUUCUAGGCAAAACAUGUCUUUGUGGUUACACCUUUUCUUGUAUUUCUUCUUGCUUAUGUAGAAAACCUGUAUGUGUAAUAAUUUGAAAAAUUGAAAGACUUUUAAAAUUUCAUAUAAAAUGCUUGCUUUAUAAGAUUUCUCAGUGAAAAUAUAAGUAUUUGAUUAUAAAUACAAAUGUAUAAAUGUGUAAUUACAAAACAAUGUAAUGGUCCAUUCUCAAUUGUUUUAUUUCUGUAAGAGGAAGGAGUAUUCUGAACGGAGUUUUGUGGUGGCCGAGUUUACAGUAAUGUUUAUUAUGUGCAACAUUUUGGUUUAUACUGCAGGGCAGGGGCAGGAACACUUCUAUUUUUAAUGUUGUGGUUUAAUGCUAUGGAUAAUUCACAAUGCUUUCUUUUUGUAUUUUUCUCAGUUGCUUGUGCCUAAUGCAUUCAUGUUAUGAAAUACAUGUAUUGUGGUGGGAUGAGACCUUUGCAGCAUGAAAUAGGUCAUAAGUAUUUUAUAUCAGACCUCUAGAUUUGAUAAAAAUCUUAGAUCAGGUGUUAACCCGCAAUGGUAAUAAUAUAUAACAUACAAAGCUGAGCUUUCACUCCUUCUAUCAACUGUAUAAUUACAGUUUUCUUAAGAGUUUCUUGCUUUCAGAAAAAAAAUAUACCUGUUGUUUAUUUGCAAAGGAAAAUGUGAGAUUUAUGAAUGAAAAAGAUCAUAAUAAAGAAUGGGAAACAGACCCAAAUGCACCGUGCAACCUAA